GACGAACGCUGGCGGCGUGCCUAAUACAUGCAAGUAGAACGCUGAAGGAGGAGCUGGCUUCUCUGUAUGAGUUGCGAACGGGUGAGUAACGCGUAGGUAACCUGCCUGGUAGCGGGGGAUAACUAUUGGAAACGAUAGCUAAUACCGCAUAAGAGUAGAUGUUGCAUGACAUUUUCUUAAAAGGUGCAAUUGCAUCACUACCAGAUGGACUUGCGUUGUAUUAGCUAGUUGGUGGGGUAACGGCUCACCAAGGCGACGAUACAUAGCCGACCUGAGAGGGUGAUCGGCCACACUGGGACUGAGACACGGCACAGACGCCUACGGGAGGCAGCAGUAGGGAAUCGUCGGCAAUGGACGGAAGUCUGACCGAGAAACGCCGCGUGAGUGAAGAAGGUUUUCGGAUCGUAAAGCUCUGUUGUAAGAGAAGAACGAGUGUGAGAGUGAAAAGUUCACACUGUGACGGUAUCUUAACAGAAAGGGACGGCUAACUACGUG
rnacentral:rRNA from 1 species